CACGUAGGGCGCAAGCGUUGUCCGGAAUUAUUGGGCGUAAAGAGCUCGUAGGCGGUCUGUUGCGUCCGCUGUGAAAACUCGGGGCUUAACCCCGAGCCUGCAGUGGAUACGGGCAGACUAGAGGUAGGUAGGGGAGAAUGGAAUUCCCGGUGUAGCGGUGAAAUGCGCAGAUAUCGGGAGGAACACCGGUGGCGAAGGCAGCUCGCUGGAACGGUACUGACGCUGAGGCGCGAAAGCGUGGGGAGCGAACAGG
rnacentral:rRNA from 1 species